rnacentral:rRNA from 1 species
CUUUGAUCCAGAGAUUUCCGAAUGGGGAAACCCAGCAUGAGUUAUGUCAUGUUAUCGAUAUGUGAAUACAUAGCAUAUCAGAAGGCACACCCGGAGAACUGAAACAUCUUAGUACCCGGAGGAAGAGAAAGAAAAUUCGAUUCCCUUAGUAGCGGCGAGCGAAACGGGAAGAGCCCAAACCAACAAGCUUGCUUGUUGGGGUUGUAGGACACUCUAUACGGAGUUACAAAGGACGACAUUAGACGAAUCAUCUGGAAAGAUGAAUCAAAGAAGGUAAUAAUCCUGUAGUCGAAAAUGUUGUCUCUCUUGAGUGGAUCCUGAGUACGACGGAGCACGUGAAAUUCCGUCGGAAUCUGGGAGGACCAUCUCCUAAGGCUAAAUACUCUCUAGUGACCGAUAGUGAACCAGUACCGUGAGGGAAAGGUGAAAAGCACCCCGGAAGGGGAGUGAAAUAGAACCUGAAACCGUGUGCUUACAAGUAGUCAGAGCCCGUUAAUGGGUGAUGGCGUGCCUUUUGUAGAAUGAACCGGCGAGUUACGAUUUGAUGCAAGGUUAAGCAGUAAAUGUGGAGCCGUAGCGAAAGCGAGUCUGAAUAGGGCGUUUAGUAUUUGGUCGUAGACCCGAAACCAGGUGAUCUACCCUUGGUCAGGUUGAAGUUCAGGUAACACUGA